rnacentral:rRNA from 1 species
GUCCACGCCGUAAACGAUGAAUGCCAGUCGUCGGCAAGCAUGCUUGUCGGUGACACACCUAACGGAUUAAGCAUUCCGCCUGGGGAGUACGGUCGCAAGAUUAAACUCAAAGGAAUUGACGGGGGCCCGCACAAGCGGUGGAGCAUGUGGUUUAAUUCGAAGCAACGCGCAGAACCUUACCAACCCUUGACAUGGGUAUCGCGGAUUUCAGAGAUGAUUUCCUUCAGUUCGGCUGGAUACCACACAGGUGCUGCAUGGCUGUCGU